rnacentral:rRNA from 1 species
GAUGAACGCUGGCGGCGUGCCUAAUACAUGCAAGUCGAGCGAACAGACGAGGAGCUUGCUCCUUUGACGUUAGCGGCGGACGGGUGAGUAACACGUAGGUAACCUACCUAUAAGACUGGGAUAACUUCGGGAAACCGGAGCUAAUACCGGAUAAUAUUUCGAACCGCAUGGUUCGAUAGUGAAAGAUGGCUUUGCUAUCACUUAUAGAUGGACCUGCGCCGUAUUAGCUAGUUGGUAAGGUAACGGCUUACCAAGGCAACGAUACGUAGCCGACCUGAGAGGGUGAUCGGCCACACUGGAACUGAGACACGGUCCAGACUCCUACGGGAGGCAGCAGUAGGGAAUCUUCCGCAAUGGGCGAGAGCCUGACGGAGCAACGCCGCGUGAGUGAUGAAGGUCUUCGGAUCGUAAAACUCUGUUAUUAGGGAAGAACAAACGUGUAAGUAACUGUGCACGUCUUGACGGUACCUAAUCAGAAAGCCACGGCUAACUACGUG